rnacentral:lncRNA from 1 species
CGGGCUAACAAAAAUAUCAUACUUUACCAAAACGAACUAAUUUCCAAAACAAACCCGCCGUGGGGAGGAGUGGUGCUGGUUCCUGCAGCUGCAGCAUCAGCAUGGUGGGCCUGCUCUGUGUGUGCUCGGGACUGCGAUAUUCAGCGUGAAUUGUGUGAAAAGGCCAUGCUGCACAGAUGUGGAGAAGGGAGAGCAAGGGCAUCUUAAUCUCCUUUUCACAAGUAAUCGGAGAUGUUCUCCUUGGCAUCGCAAGUGGGUGUCUCUCAAAGGCUACUGCAGUGUGGCCGCUGAGCUGGUCGGGAGCUUUUCCUGCUCUGCCAAGUGAAAGCCAGGCCGCUCUUUACUCAGAAGGGGCUGUGACCUGUGCAAGGCCUUGCACGCCAUGGGUGUGCCAUGUGAAGCCAUCGGGUGUCUGGAUGCUAAUGAUUUCCUUCAUACAGCCCUGCAGAUGUAGUAUGCAUCAGCACCACCUCCGGACUAGACUGAAAAGUCGUCCAUUACUGGGAAUCCAUAAACCCAGUGACAUCACCGUUUCCAGGCCUCAACCACACUGCAGCUGUACCUGGACUCUGUUUCUUCCUUCCCAUGCGGGACAGCAUUUCAGAGCUUGGGUGAUAGGCGAAGGAUUAAUACCCGGGACCUGGAACAGGUGGCCACAGGGACCAGGCAGAGCUGCGACCACCAUAGUCAGCACCCACGAGGCCUGACCUGUCUUCCGGAACCUGAACAGAGUCCAGCCCAGAGCCCAGAGAUCCCCUGCAAGGUGACUGUCUCGUGGUGCAUUUGGAGCUGUAGCCCAAAUCUGGGAUUUGUUGCUCUUUAUCCUUUAUUCUCUCCAUGUUGCUCUAUGCUGUGGGAACAUUCAGUGCAGGCAAGGACAUGGCUCGUUCCGGCUCAUACUGGCUCGUUCCAGCUCACACUGGCGCCUCGCUUUAUUCAGCGGGUGGGGUGCCCUGCCCUGCACUGAUCCGACCACCUGUGCUGAGUCACCACUCUGUGGCUGGGGGGUUGUGGUCAGCAGGCUGCAGGUGUCACAGUUGAUUCUCUGGAGGCCUUUGCCAAUGAAGCUAUCACAUGUCGGGGGCCGAGCAUGACCCCCUGUGCUAUUGAGCAGAUGGCCGAGUUCUGUGUGCAGGGCCAGGCCUGGCAUCCGGGUCCCUGGCAGUGGCUGCAGCAUUUGCUCUGUGGCACCUGCAGCAAAAUGCACCCUGUGGAAGCCAAGCUGAGAAGCCUCACGUUUCUGGGGGAAAGAGCAGCACCAGACACCAAGCUCAGUGAGUGCCAGGGACUCCAUCUUACGCUGGAUCACAGACCGGCUCCCCUCUCGCGUUGUGGGGCUGCACAGACCCUUGAAAGCAUCAUGUGCCCAGGGUGUACACAUGGGGCUUCCAGUCAUUCCUAUCAGUCCACUGAGGGAGCCCGUCAGAGUCUGUCGUCGAUUCAAGUCCAGGCACAGGUGAACAUAUUAAAGCUUCUUGUUGUUGGGUGCACUCGUCCCUGUGAAUGAGAGGAGGAAAAUUAUCCACUGAAAAGACUUGGCUUCUUCCUCUCCUGGACCCUGC